rnacentral:rRNA from 1 species
GACGAACGCUGGCGGCGUGCUUAACACAUGCAAGUCGAACGGAAAGGCCCUGCUUUUGUGGGGUGCUCGAGUGGCGAACGGGUGAGUAACACGUGAGUAACCUGCCCUUGACUUUGGGAUAACUUCAGGAAACUGGGGCUAAUACCGGAUAGGAGCUCCUGCUGCAUGGUGGGGGUUGGAAAGUUUCGGCGGUUGGGGAUGGACUCGCGGCUUAUCAGCUUGUUGGUGGGGUAGUGGCUUACCAAGGCUUUGACGGGUAGCCGGCCUGAGAGGGUGACCGGCCACAUUGGGACUGAGAUACGGCCCAGACUCCUACGGGAGGCAGCAGUGGGGAAUAUUGCACAAUGGGCGGAAGCCUGAUGCAGCAACGCCGCGUGCGGGAUGACGGCCUUCGGGUUGUAAUCCGCUUUCGCCUGUGACGAAGCGUGAGUGACGGUAAUGGGUAAAGAAGCACCGGCUAACUACGUG